UGUCUCCAAGCCUCUCCCCAGUUUAUUCAGAGCUUGGGAGAAACAAAGUGCUUUCCCUUGGCCUGGGUUGCUUGGAUCCCCAGUGGAAAGAUGCUGUAGAAGAACCUCUUCUGCAAGACCAUUCAUUCAUGCCUUGAGACAGUAUGAAUCAAGCUGACUUUUUUUUUUUCCAAGGAGUUUUUAAGAACAGCUAUGCAGAGGAGGAAUGACAAGUAGAAGAGGGGAAAAGGGAAAAUAUAAACAAAAAAAACAGUACAUUUCACACAAAAGCAGAGGAACAGAAAGUGAAAUCUGAGACAGACCAUCAAGCUUCAGACCAUCAUGCAGCAAGGGCUCUAGCCAGUUCCAGGUGAAGACCCCACCCCGGGCCAUCAAGGAGCUUCCCUGCCUCCACUAGACAGAGCAGAGUGAGAGUUCCAUGAUCCCCAAUAGGUAGGGGCUAUGCCUCAAGCCAGCAUGAAGCAGUUACAGAAAAAAAGACCAUCAGUUCCUCUGCCUCCCAUGGGGAUCACAUCUUUCAGCAGGGAGAUGAGGCAUAAAAACAAGGUCUGGAGGCAGGGAAUUCAAGGCCGAUUCACACUUCAGCUAUGACAGGAAAUAUCCUCUCCAUAGGGUAUAGGCCAAGUAAAUGACUUUGUAACUUUACUCCUCAUUUUCAUAGGUUGCACCCCAAGUAAGCAAUGGAAUCCUCUAGAGGGUAUUUCCCCAAAAUUCUGUAAUGGGGUCCUUGAGCCCCUAUGCUCGGGCCCACUCCCACACUGUGGAGUGUACUUUCAUUUUCAAUAAAUCCCUCAUUUCUUCCUUGCUCUG
rnacentral:lncRNA from 1 species